rnacentral:rRNA from 1 species
CCCAGACUCCUACGGGAGGCAGCAGUGGGGAAUAUUGGGCAAUGGGCGAAAGCCUGACCCAGCAAUGCCGCGUGAAUGAAGAAGGUCUUAGGAUUGUAAAAUUCUGUCCUAUGGGAAGAAACAAAUGACGGUACCAUAGGAGGAAGCCCCGGCUAACUACGUGCCAGCAGCCGCGGUAAUACGUAGGGGGCGAGCGUUGUCCGGAAUUACUGGGCGUAAAGCGCGCGUAGGCGGCCUGUUAGGUCGGGGGUCAAAUACCGGGGCUCAACCCCGGUCCGCCCCCGAUACCGGCAGGCUUGAGUCUGGUAGGGGAAGGCGGAAUUCCCAGUGUAGCGGUGGAAUGCGCAGAUAUUGGGAAGAACACCGGCGGCGAAGGCGGCCUUCUGGGCCACGACUGACGCUGAGGCGUGAAAGCUAGGGGAGCGAACAGGAUUAGAUACCCUAGUA